CCGAAUUAUGGUGUGAUCAAACUAUAGCACCCUCAAGGUAAACUGUCGAUGUACCUCAGGUUAGAGAACUAGACACACAAUCACAACUAUGAACAAAUCACUAAUGAGAAAGUAGAAAUUCUUAUGACUGUUGGUGAUUGAUCACGCUCAGUAUCCUUGUUCUUAACAAGUACCUAUACUUUUGCUCCGAUAUCUCCACACCAUAAAUUCAAGACUCAUCUAUCCAAAGGAAGCGAUUAUACACCAAUCUUCU
rnacentral:lncRNA from 1 species